rnacentral:rRNA from 1 species
GAGUACGGUCGCAAGGAUUAAAAACUCAAAGGAAUUGACGGGGGCCCCGCACAAACCGGUGGAGCAUGUGGUUUAAUUCGAAGCAACGCGCAGAACCUUACCAACCCUUGACAUCCCGGGACCGGUCCAGAGAUGGAUCUUUCACUUCGGUGACUCGGUGACAGGUGCUGCAUGGCUGUCGUCAGCUCGUGUCGUGAGAUGUUCGGUUAAGUCCGGCAACGAGCGCAACCCACAUCCUUAGUUGCCAGCAGUUUGGCUGGGCACUCUAGGGAAACUGCCCGUGAUAAGCGGGAGGAAGGUGUGGAUGACGUCAAGUCCUCAUGGCCCUUACGGGUUGGGCUACACACGUGCUACAAUGGCAGUGACAAUGGGUUAAUCCCAAAAAACUGUCUCAGUUCGGAUUGGGGUCUGCAACUCGACCCCAUGAAGUCGGAAUCGCUAGUAAUCGCGUAACAGCAUGACGCGGUGAAUACGUUCCCGGGCCUUGUACACACCGCCCGUCACACCAUGGGAGUUGGUUCUACCCGACGGCCGUGCGCUAACCUUUUGGGGGCAGCGGACCACG